AUUGAACGCUGGCGGCAGGCUUAACACAUGCAAGUCGAGCGAGCGGCGGACGGGUGAGUAAUGUCUGGGAACCUGCCUGAUGGCGGGGGAUAACUACUGGAAACGGUAGCUAAUACCGCAUACCAUCAGAUUUUCCCAGAUGGGAUUAGCUAGUAGGUGGGGUAAUGGCUCACCUAGGCGACGAUCCCUAGCUGGUCUGAGAGGAUGACCAGCCACACUGGAACUGAGACACGGUCCAGACUCCUACGGGAGGCAGCAGUGGGGAAUAUUGCACAAUGGGCGCAAGCCUGAUGCAGCAACGCCGCGUGUGUGAAGAAGGUCUUCGGGUUGUAAAGCUCUUUCAGCGAGGAGGCGGUACCCGCAGAAGAAGCACCGGCUAACUACGUGCCAGCAGCCGCGGUAAUUC
rnacentral:rRNA from 1 species